rnacentral:rRNA from 1 species
UCCGUAGGGUGCGAGCGUUAAUCGGAAUUACUGGGCGUAAAGCGUGCGCAGGCGGUUUUGUAAGCCAGAUGUGAAAGCCCCGGGCUUAACCUGGGAAUGGCAUUUGGGACUGCAAGGCUGGAGUGUGGCAGAGGAGACUGGAAUUCCUGGUGUAGCAGUGAGAUGCGUAGAUAUCAGGAGGAACACCGAUGGCGAAGGCAGGUCUCUGGGCUGACACUGACGCUCAUGCACGAAAGCGUGGGGAGCAAACAGG